CCUACGGGAGGCAGCAGUGGGGAAUAUUGCACAAUGGGCGGAAGCCUGAUGCAGCGACGCCGCGUGAGGGAUGACGGCCUUCGGGUUGUAAACCUCUUUCAGUAGGGAAGAAGCGAAAGUGACGGUACCUGCAGAAGAAGCGCCGGCUAACUACGUGCCAGCAGCCGCGGUAAUACGUAGGGCGCAAGCGUUAUCCGGAAUUAUUGGGCGUAAAGAGCUCGUAGGCGGUUUGUCGCGUCUGCCGUGAAAGUCCGGGGCUCAACUCCGGAUCUGCGGUGGGUACGGGUCAGACUAGAGUGAUGUAGGGGAGACUGGAAUUCCUGGUGUAGCGGUGAAAUGCGCAGAUAUCAGGAGGAACACCGAUGGCGAAGGCAGGUCUCUGGGCAUUAACUGACGCUGAGGAGCGAAAGCAUGGGGAGCGAACAGGAUUAGAUACCCUGGUAGUCCAUGCCGUAAACGUUGGGCACUAGGUGUGGGGGGACAUUCCACGUUUUCCGCGCCGUAGCUAACGCAUAGUGCCGCCGUCGGGNGGACGGCCGCCGACGGACGAAACGUAACAAGUAGUUAGUUAGUACGGCGUUGAGACGNGCCGACGGACGACGACGAGGGAGGAGG
rnacentral:rRNA from 1 species